GCUUGUCUCAAAGAUUAAGCCAUGCAUGUCUCAGCAUAAGCUUCAACACGGUGAAACUGCAAAUGGCUCAUUAAAGCAGUUACAAUUUAUUUGAUGGUCACUGUUACAUGGAUAACUGUAGAAACACUAGAGCUAAUACAUGCUAAGACCGUAAGGUUGUAUUUAUUAGAUAUACCGAGUAGGUGAAUCAUAAUAACUUCGCAAAUCGCAGUAAUACUGCGAUAAAUCAUUCAAGUUUCUGCCCUAUCAUGCUCUCGAUGGUAGUGUAUUGGACUACCAUGGCUCUCACGGGUAACGGGGAAUUAGGGUUCGAUUCCGGAGAAGGAGCCUGAGAAACGGCUACUACAUCUAAGGAAGGCAGCAGG
rnacentral:rRNA from 1 species